AUGGAGGCACGUGUGCAUUGAAAAUACUAUCGUAUGUAGUCACCAUAAUCAUGAUUCUAUCCAUAAUUGUGUUCAAUUAUCAAUAGCCCCGUGUAGUUCCUGGUGGCAAAAACAAGUAUUCAGGUAGUAAAGGAAAGGAAUCAGACGGGAGUCCGAGGCAGACAGCCCAAUCUCCACUUCAACACACUAUCGAGGAGGAACCUCUGCAAUCUCUGGAAGAAUCACGGGUGGCUCAACCAGACAAAAUGCAGUGGGAAGUAUCGACAGGUCACCCAGUUCCAACAUAAACCCCACCAUUACAAUUGCUCUGAGCAAUGUGACACAAUUUGCAGUACCAGAGAAUACAUCUGAACCAUUACAUACAGAUGCCCCACCUUUUCUACGCCUAACCGGUAGCAAUGCGUCAAGCCAGACGUUGCCGUCGCUUCAUCAAAAUAACCAAAGAAGCAUUAAUCAUUAUGUGUCCUCCCCCAGUGCCCCAAAUCCAUAUCACUACGCGUCUAGUCCCGAUAACUCAGUUGAUUUUGUAAGAUUGGAAGCCGCUUAUCAAGAACCAUCUUCUGUGGAGAUUUAUAAUAACGCAUACGAAGGUACAACUGAUGAUGUACAUUCAAAUAUAAUGCUGGAAAAUGUCAAUCCAUACCAUUAUGCCACUAGCUCCGCAAAAAUGGAAGUAGGUGGUGAUAGCACACUGAGUUAUGAAGAAGCCUAUCAAGUACCGUCUGCUAUAGAAAUGGCUAAUCAUGAAUAUGAAGGUACAUUUGAUGAUCAUGAACACUCAACAGCAGUUCUUUCUGGAGGUAUAUCUAUGGCAUACCGCCCUUUGCCACAUAGACCAUCCUCUGCUAACUGCAACGAAGGGCCAACUCUGCCUCCUAGAAAAUCAUCACGAGGCCCAACACAUUUUCCUAUGAAACAGAGGGAAAGUACCAUGGACACAGUAAACAACAAUUUUCCCCAAGCAUGCU